UCGACAUCGGCACGCAUGAGCCCUUUCAAUCAAAGAAAAGGGUCACCUCGCGCUCGAAUGUCAUCCAUCGUUAGCGUACAAACGCUUCGAGUGUGCGACGAUUGAAACGUCAAACACCCACACAAACGUUCUGCAUCCGAAGGGCCCGAACUUGAGAUCGUAAUCCUGUCCUAUCGUGCUUGUUUUCGCUUGACAGGCGGAUAACGAACCAAGUUUCACUGUCCGCUCGACCUCCUUUAACGGAUGUAGAGCGGAAAUCACUCUUUUAAGGGGAAUACAUCAGUGCCGUCAUUAGGAAUUCAACAUAGGGACCCCACAUCGCCCAAGGCAAACGAUGCACUUGGAGCAAACAAUGAAGAGGUAUGCUGGUGAACGAUUCAAUGCACAAGCAGAGAGCUCGCCAACCACACAAACCCAAUACCACUCACACACUAUAACGUAUUGCACCACUGGGAUCAUGCCUACAUGCACCCCGCAACUACACAUUAGUUGCAAGAGCAAGUAAGC
rnacentral:misc_RNA from 1 species